rnacentral:rRNA from 1 species
UCAGUCGUGAGCAAGGGUGUGUAGUUAAUAGCUGCACAUCUUGACGUUAGCGACAGAAGAUGCACCGGCUAACUCCGUGCCAGCAGCCGCGGUAAUACGGAGGGUGCCAGCGUUAAUCGGAAUUACUGGGCGUAAAGCGCAUGCAGGUGGUUCAUAAGUCAGAUCUGAAAGCCCGGGGCUCAACCUCGGA